rnacentral:rRNA from 1 species
GGCCGAGCGGGCUUACAUGCAGUCGAGCGGAGAUGAGGUGCUUGCACCUUAUCUUAGCGGCGGACGGGUGAGUAAUGCUUAGGAAUCUGCCUAUUAGUGGGGGACAACAUUCCGAAAGGAAUGCUAAUACCGCAUACGUCCUACGGGAGAAAGCAGGGGAUCUUCGGACCUUGCGCUAAUAGAUGAGCCUAAGUCGGAUUAGCUAGUUGGUGGGGUAAAGGCCUACCAAGGCGACGAUCUGUAGCGGGUCUGAGAGGAUGAUCCGCCACACUGGGACUGAGACACGGCCCAGACUCCUACGGGAGGCAGCAGUGGGGAAUAUUGGACAAUGGGGGGAACCCUGAUCCAGCCAUGCCGCGUGUGUGAAGAAGGCCUUAUGGUUGUAAAGCACUUUAAGCGAGGAGGAGGCUACUGAGACUAAUACUCUUGGAUAGUGGACGUUACUCGCAGAAUAAGCACCGGCUAACUCUGUGCCAGCACCGNNCGGUAAUAAAA